UUCCUCUCUAGCAUUUGUGCAUGGCUUUCUCUUACCCUCUGAGACCUGCAAGCAGCAGAUGAAGUUGAAGCUCAGACACCAGAAUGAGAUUCUUCAGCAACACCUUCAGUGGGAAAUUGACAGCCUCCGAGGGCAGAUCGCUGAGCUGCAGACCCAAGUAGCAACUCUAGCGAAGACCCAUGGUCAGCAGCAUCGGAGGACAAAGAAAUAUCCAGUCAGGUCAGUGGACGGUUGGGUACAGGGCAACAGUGACCACAUCC